GUGGGGAAUCUUGCGCAAUGGGCGAAAGCCUGACGCAGCCAUGCCGCGUGAAUGAUGAAGGUCUUAGGAUUGUAAAAUUCUUUCACCGGGGACGAUAAUGACGGUACCCGGAGAAGAAGCCCCGGCUAACUUCGUGCCAGCAGCCGCGGUAAUACGAAGGGGGCUAGCGUUGCUCGGAAUUACUGGGCGUAAAGGGCGCGUAGGCGGAUCGUUAAGUCAGGGGUUAAAUCCCAGAGCUCAACUCUGGAACUGCCCUUGAUACUGGCGAUCUUGAGUGUGAGGGAGGUAUGUGGAACUCCGAGUGUAGAGGUGAAAUUCGUAGAUAUUCGGAAGAACACCAGUGGCGGAGGCGACAUACUGGCUCAUUACUGACGCUGAGGCGCGAAAGCGUGGGGAGCAAACAGGAUUAGAUACCCGUGUAGUCC
rnacentral:rRNA from 1 species